GUUGGGUACAGUGGUGUGAGCCUGUAGUCUCAGCUACAUAGGAGGCUAAGGCAUGAGGAUGGCUUGAACCCAGGAGUUUGGUGCCAGCGUGGACAACAUAAUGAGACCCUGUCUCUU
rnacentral:sRNA from 1 species